rnacentral:misc_RNA from 1 species
CCGAGUUUACAACUCCCAAACCCCUGUGAACAUACCUAUACGUUGCCUCGGCGGAUCAGCCCGCGCCCCGUAAAAAGGGACGGCCCGCCCGAGGACCCCUAAACUCUGUUUUUAGUGGAACUUCUGAGUAAACAAACAAAUAAAUCA